rnacentral:rRNA from 1 species
UACGAAGGGGGCAAGCGUUAUCCGGAAUUAUUGGGCGUAAAGUGUACGUAGACGGUAAUUUUUUGUUUUAAGUGAAAUUUUUGGUUUAUUCUAAAAAAAUGCUUUUUUUACAAAAUUACUUGAGUAUAGUAGAGAAAAAUAGAAUUUCAUGCAUAGGGGUAAAAUCCUUAGAUUUAUGAAGGAAUGCCAGUGGCGAAGGCGAUUUUUUGGGCUAUAACUGACGUUGAGGUACGAAAGCGUAGGGAUCAAACGGG